CCCUGCAUCUGCAAGCACAAAAAUUCAACUGCUACUGCAGUUGAGGAGCAGAGGAGCGUUCGUUUCAACUCAAACAUAGCAGCAAGAGCUCCCAAAGGAAAGGGUCCUCCUAGAGAUCUGUGCCCUCCAUACCCAGCCAAGCUUUCCUCAGCUCUCACCUUCUGCACUGUGAUGACAGCCUCUUGGGUAUUGCUGUCUGUGGUGACUUUGAACAUCUCCACUGCUUCCUCAUCCUUCACCUGGAUGCCUCCUGCUUUGCUGCCCACAAGCUGUCUUUCAUUUCUCCAGGAGCACAUGGCUGUAGUUCAAGAGGUCACUCUGACUUGGGAAAGGAUUAUGCAGCUCUGGUCUCAUCUGGAAUCCCUGGGAUUUGGAGGCGGUUUUGCAGGGUGCAGCAGGCUUCAGGUUUGACAGGAGCGGCACACAGGUUCUCCAGCCCCCCUCCUCCCAGCCAGGAGACCUACCGAUGGGGGAGAGCUCAGCCACGCUGCCGAUGUAGGGCCCCUCCAGGAAGCGCGGCUCGCUGUCGUUGAUGUCCUGCACCUUGAUGAUGAACUCUGACUCAGGCUCCAGUAACUGGUCCGUCUGCCGGUCGCGGGCCUGAGCCCGCAGCGUGUAGAAGGUUUUCUGCUCCCGGUCCAGGCGCUCAGUGGCAUGGAUGUCGCCUGUGAUCUCAUCGAUGAGGAAGAUAGUCCCUGCGCCCUCCCCGGAGAUAGUGUACUUGAUGGAGCCGUCCCCCUCAUCCGAGUCUGAGUGGAUCUGUCAGGGAAAGAGGGAGAGGGUAGGAGCAAGCUGGGGCCAUGCUUGUACCCCUGUGGCCAAGACUGCAUGAUGUGGAGCCCAUGGUGCCUGUGUGAUGUCUGUCACCAGGGAGAGGCACAGAGCACCACCAACUCAUGCCUGGGCAUGGAAAAAGGCUCAAUAAAUUGGAACUUCAGUCCUACCUAUGCCACCCAUACACCUGGCAGAUCACAAAUCCUGCCAGUACCCACCCAUACCACAAACCAAGGGACUAACCCACCACUGUGAGGUUCAGAGAUAAUGGAAGAGGUAAAGACAACUCAACAGCACCCCCAAAAAGGAAGCUUCCCUGUGGGCAAGGACUCCAGACCCCAGUGUGGGAUCAUCUCUCCCAGGCUGCACAAAGCAGAUCAAGGUAUAGAGGCAGCUCUCCACCAGCAUCUGUUCUUACCUUCCAGCUCUGCCCCACCACAGCAGCUCUCUGCCUUGGGAGCAGUUGGUGGUGACAAGUCUCCCUGCUUGAGAGCUCAGGUACUCGCUGAACAUCUGUAUUGGGUUUAUGUGGUAAGGCAACAGGGGAGUCAACCCAUGAUAACAUCACACCCACAGCCCCCAACCCAAGCAAAGACUGCAGGAGAAUGUGGCAAAUCAGGCCCAUGUUCAGGAUGAAAAACAGGCCCUGUGGAAGAUGCUUUUGUAGCCAAUCUCCACUUCAUUUUCUAAUUAAAACAGUGUUUGAAAUCAGGGAAAGAAAGGGUAAACAGCUCCUCACAGACCAGAAGCUGAGUGAAAUCCAGGCCAGACAUCCAGAGAUAAUUUUAUUGGUGGCAUUAAACUGAGUUAUGAGGUUGUUACAAUCCAGCCACUUAUGAGAAAUCUAUUAACAGUAACUGGACAGGCAGAAUGCAUCAUGACAAGAGAGCAGCAUAGGCAUUAAUUGGGACAAUCCGUAACAGGACAGGAUCCUGGAAAGACUUCAUCAAUUGCUUUCAUUUGCUUCCUAAAAUUUCUGCUUAAAAUGAGCAGUCGUGUGUGUGUGUGUGUGUGUCCCAAAAAAACCUGUCCAUUAAUCGGCUAAUGAAAUAUGAAAAUGUUUAUGGGCCCUUCAAUCUUCAAAACUGCAGUUCUAUAAUCCACCUUUCAGACAUACAGCUCUACCAGCAAGAAUUUAUACCAGAGCUGCCUCUUUUUUACGAUGCC